UCAAAUCUAAAGCUAAACAUUUCAUCAGUCGUCUACGAAACCCAACUCAUCUAAUCUUCAUAGGAGAUUCCAGUUCAAAAUCGAGAUGACUUCAAUUAGCAUUCAAAUUCAAGCAGAGGAUAUCAUCACCAACAUACUCUCGCGCUUACCGGUGAAAUCUAUUAGUAGAUUCAGGUGUGUAUCAAAAACUUGGUGUAAGUUGCUGAAUAACCCUCAUUUCAUUAAAACACAACUUAAUCAUGCUCUUCAAAACAAUGUGUUCAGUCUCCUUGUUCUGUCUUUAAGAAUGGGCGCUAGUAUAUGUGACAAUAACUAUGAUAUAUACUCUGUAGAUUAUGAUUCAAUAACCUCAACAUAUAGAAAAUCUGUUAAGAUUGGUUAUAAAUUUGAACCUAAUUAUACGACUUCAUUCGACUUUUGGGGUUCUAGUAGUGGCUUGAUUUGCUUUAGUAGUAGGGGAGUUGUUUGUUUAUGGAACCCAACUGAAAGAGUAUAAAGAAAUUCCAUCACCACCAAACAAUUUUCCGGUAGAUGACGAAGGUGAACUGCUUUCCCAUAUUAGCUACGGUUUUGGUUAUGACUGCAAUAUUGAGGAUUAUGUGUUAGCAAGUAUUGACUAUUCUGAACUUGAUAUCUUUACAUUAAGAUCAAAUUGCUGGAUAAGAAUUCCGAAUGUCCCAUAUCAAAUGUCUUGUGGUGUGAUUUUGAUUUUUAAUGGAGCUCUACAUUGGAUUGCGAAUCCCAUUGGGGGAACCGAAGAGGCUAUUGUAUUAGCUACUUACGAAAUUGGUGAUGGGAGGUUCAAGACACUACCAAGAGACUUCGAUGAUAAGUUUGAAAUUGUAUAUGUGGGUGUGCUGGCUGGGUGUUUGUGUUUAACAGCUAAUAUUUAUGGGGUGCGUACUGUUGUGUGGGUGAUGAAGGAUUAUGGAGUGCAAGAAUCUUGGACCAGACUUUUCACUAUUGAUCAACACACUUCUGCCGGAUCAUUCAAAUUUUUGAAGCUUAUAAAGCCCCUUAAGAAUGGUGAUCUUGUGUUUCAAAAAGAUCACUCUGAAUUGUUUUUAUAUGACCCAGAUCAAGGAGAAGCUAGAACUCGGAAGAUCCGUGGUAUUACACAAGAGAUGACUGCAUGGGCUUACUCGGAUAGUUUAGUUUCACCUAACUCUCUCACUUCUCCAGCUCAAGAGCAGAUAAGGCAAGCGUAAACCAGAAAACACAGUGAAUUGCCUAAAGAUACACACAACAAGAGGCAUCGCUACAGGGACUGACUCAGCAGAAGCCCUAGCCCUUCAGCUAGCAGUAAAUUGGGCCACAAGUUCAGGGGAGAAAAGGGUGGUUUAUUUGUGUGAUUGUGAAGAUGUGGUGUCACGACUUGCCAAACAGUUGCUCAUGGGCAGUAUCUAUUAUUCUGAAGGAUACAAAGAAGUUUUUUGGGUUUUUUGAAUCUGUCAAAGUGAUUUAUGUAAAUAGGAAUCACAUUUCUUGUGCUGACAGUUUGGCAGAUAUGCCAGAAAAUAUAGAUCUAGAUGUGGAAAGAUUUGAUCUUUAAUAAACAAAGAUGGGACUGUAUGCCGUAGAGCUGAUGGCGUGGACUGGUGCUGUAUUAUACUGCUGCAAGCUUGGUGGUCAUGAGUUGCAAGAGAAAUUGGUUUGGCAUGGUGGGUGUUCAGACUCUAGGAGGUGGUGGUCGUGUGUGGUUGGAGAGCAACUCCUGGUGGUGAUAAGCAGGUAAGUGAAUACCUUUCUUGCUUAAUAUGUAUAUUAUCCAGUUUUUAGAAGAAAAAGAAAAGGAGACGUACUAUUAGAAUUAUAGAAGUAUUUUUUACUACUGCAUAUUAAUGACAACAUCUUAGAUGUAGCAACAUAUCCUUAAGUAGGAUAAAACUAUGUCCCUUCGGGGACAUCCAAUAAGUCUGAUGAAAGUGUGUGAUGGUUAUAUUUGUCUACGCUACCAUUGAAGAGAAAACAGUAAAGUUCCUAUCUUAGGAUAACCUCUUUGAUGAAGGAAAACAAUGUUGCCUUAUUAUAUAUGAUCCAGAUCAAGGAGAAGCUAGAAUUGGGAAGAUCCGUGGUAUUACACAAGAAAUGUCUACAUGGGCUUACUCGGGUAGUUUAGUUUCACAUAACUCUAUUACUUCUCCAGCUCAAGAGCAGAUAAGGCAAGCAUAAAUCAGAAAACACAGCGAAGUGCCCAAGGAUACACACAAUAAGAGGCGUCACUACAGGGACAGACUCAGCAGACUCUCUACUCAAGACAGCUAAGCGGACAAGCGUAUUUGACUUUCACUUGGCCCUGUUAUUCGUAUUAUCAUAGUAUAUGCCAAGUAUUGUACACCCAAAAAAUUCAGUUAUGCACCCUCUUGUUUUGACCAUAUGGUUUUUAUCUCCAUUUUAACUGUUGGUAAAAGUAGUGGAAUUCUUGUGUAGCCGGAUAUCUGAAAUGUUAGGUUAAUGAUAAGAUGACUCUUUUGGUGA